GACGAACGCUGGCGGCGUGCUUAACACAUGCAAGUCGAACGGGAUUUAGUAAACAGAAGCCUCGGUGGAAGAUUACUAAUGAGAGUGGCGAACGGGGGAGUAACGCGUGAGCAACCUGCCUAUGACAGUGGGAUAGCCUCGGGAAACCGGGAUUAAUACCGCAUAAAAUCGUAGAAACACAUGUUUUAACGGUCAAAGAUUUAUCGGUCAUAGAUGGGCUCGCGUCUGAUUAGCUAGUUGGUGAGAUAACAGCCCACCAAGGCGACGAUCAGUAGCCGGUCUGAGAGGAUGAACGGCCACAUUGGAACUGAGACACGGUCCAAACUCCUACGGGAGGCAGCAGUGGGGAAUAUUGCACAAUGGGGGAAACCCUGAUGCAGCGACGCCGCGUGAACGAAGAAGGUAUUCGUAUCGUAAAGUUCUGUCCUAUGGGAAGAUAAUGACAGUACCAUAGAAGAAAGCUCCGGCUAAAUACGUG
rnacentral:rRNA from 1 species